rnacentral:rRNA from 1 species
UACGGGGGGGGCAAGCGUUGUUCGGAAUUACUGGGCGUAAAGGGCUCGUAGGCGGCCAACUAAGUCAGACGUGAAAUCCCCAGGCUCAACCUGGGAACUGCGUCUGAUACUGGAUGGCUUGAAUUCGGGAGAGGGAUGCAGAAUUCCAGGUGUAGCGGUGAAAUGCGUAGAUAUCUGGAGGAAUACCGGUGGCGAAGGCGGCAUCCUGGACCGAUACUGACGCUGAGACGCGAAAGCGUGGGGAGCAAACAGG